CACAGCGCUGCGGCGGGCAGCAGGCGAGAGCCGAGGAAGCCCAGGGAAGCUCAGCCGGGUCACGUGCCGCACGGAGCCCCGAAGUGCGCUUGGCCCCGCUGACGUAACUAGUGGAGAAUUUAAAAGUCCUAAAGUCGGAAGCGAUCGGGUGCAGAAUUUUGUGGCUAAUCCGUGCGCAGCUCUGGCCACCCGGGCCGCCCCCACGAGACCCAAGGGACCGCACGAAGUCGGAGAGACCCGGGAGGGAUGGCGCAAGGGCCCCCGUGGGCGGAGAACCCAGCCCCCUGGCGAGCGCCUCGUCCUCGCUGCUGACCCCGCGCCCAGCCACCCGAGCACAGGCAACUUCUGUCCUAUUGGGGUUGAUGAUUCUGACUCCACUGGUGGAGAACUCUCCCGAACCGUGUCCUUGGGAGUUGAACUUGGAGCAUCAGACCGACUGCCUUUGGGGAGCUGACUUUGAAGCUCUGAUGCAGAAACCUGUUCCCAUCCACCAUGAGUGGGUGGUGCGGUCUUCUCCCUGAGAAUAUCAAAGAUGGAUGCUUCUGAGUCCAAUUGGGAUGGCUGGAGACAGUUUUCAGAAGCCACAUUUGGACUUCCAGUAUCCUCGGGGGCCUUAGUUCCCUCCUUUGGCCCCACUGAGCUCCCGGUACCUUUGCUUGAAGCCCCAGGAGGAGGAGGAG